ACGGGAGGCAGCAGUGGGGAAUAUUGGGCAAUGGGCGCAAGCCUGACCCAGCAACGCCGCGUGAAGGAAGAAGGCUUUCGGGUUGUAAACUUCUUUUGUGAGGGACGAGCAGAAGACGGUACCUCAUGAAUAAGCAACGGCUAAUUACGUGCCAGCAGCCGCGGUAACACGUAAGUUGCGAGCGUUGUUCGGAAUUAUUGGGCGUAAAGGGUAUGUAGGCGGUCGUGCAAGCUUGGUGUGAAAGGCAGGGGCUCAACCCCUGGACUGCAUUGAGAACUGCAAGACUUGAAUUGCUGAAGGGCAGCCGGAAUUCCAGGUGUAGGGGUGAAAUCUGUAGAUAUCUGGAAGAACACCAAUGGCGAAGGCAGGCUGCUGGCAGAUGAUUGACGCUGAGGUACGAAAGUGCGGGGAGCAAACAGGAUUAGAUACCCUGGUA
rnacentral:rRNA from 1 species